GGGGUUGUAGCUCAAUGGUAGAGUAUUCACCUCGCAUGUGGAAGGCACUGGGUUCUAUCCUCAGCUCCG
rnacentral:tRNA from 1 species